rnacentral:rRNA from 1 species
AUGAACGCUAGCGACAGGCUAACACAUGCAAGUCAGGGGUAACAGGGUAGCAUACCGCUGACGACCGGCGCACGGGUGAGUAACGCGUAUGCAACCUGCCUAUAACUGGGGAAUAGCUCCCUGAAAGGGGAAUUAACACCGCAUAACACUAUUGAUUCGCAUGGAUUGGUAGUUAAAUGUAGCGAUACAGGUUAUAGAUGGGCAUGCGUGACAUUAGCUAGUUGGUGAGGUAACGGCUCACCAAGGCUACGAUGUCUAGGGGUUCUGAGAGGAAGGUCCCCCACACUGGUACUGAGACACGGACCAGACUCCUACGGGAGGCAGCAGUGAGGAAUAUUGGUCAAUGGGCGCAAGCCUGAACCAGCCAUGUCGCGUGCAGGAAGACUGCCCCCUAUGGGUUGUAAACUGCUUUUAUAGUAGAAGAAACACAUCUACGCGUAGAUGUCUGCCAGUAUACUAUGAAUAAGCAUCGGCUAACUCCGUGCCAGCAGCUGC